UUCGGUGAGAGAGGGAGUGGCGGACGGGUGAGUAACACAUGGGUGACCUGCCCUGAAGUGAGGGAUACCGGCGAGAAAUCGCCGACAAGCCCGCAUAGGUUCUUUCUGGUGGAGCGGAGAGAGCGAAGGUCCUUUUCGGAGGGCUGCUUUGGGAUGGGCCUGUGGCCGAUUAGCUAGUUGGUGGGGUAAGAGCCUACCAAGGCGACGAUCGGUAGCUGGUCUGAGAGGACGAUCAGCCACACUGGGAUUGAGAACGGCCCAGACUCCUACGGGGGGCAGCAGUGAGGAAUUUUCCGCAAUGGAGGAAACUCUGACGGAGCAACGCCGCGUGCAGGAGGACGCUUUUCGGA
rnacentral:rRNA from 1 species